rnacentral:rRNA from 1 species
UACGUAGGGGGCAAGCGUUGUCCGGAUUUAUUGGGCGUAAAGAGCGUGUAGGCGGCUAGAUAGGUCCGUUGUGAAAACUCGAGGCUCAACCUCGAGACGCCGGUGGAAACCAUCUAGCUAGAGUCCGGAAGAGGAGAGUGGAAUUCCUGGUGUAGCGGUGAAAUGCGCAGAUAUCAGGAGGAACACCGGUGGCGAAGGCGGUGAUCUGGGCCGACACUGACGCUGUAGAGCGAAAGCGUGGGGAGCGAACAGG